CGCGUAGGCGGGAUGGCAAGUCGGUCGUGAAAUCCCUCGGCUCAACCGAGGAACGUCGAUCGAUACUGCUGUUCUUGAGGAUUGCAGAGGAGACUGGAAUUCCCGGUGUAGCGGUGAAAUGUGUAGAGAUCGGGAGGAACACCGGUGGCGGAGGCGGGUCUCUGGGCAAUUCCUGACGCUGAGGCGCGAAAGCGUGGGAGCAAACG
rnacentral:rRNA from 1 species